rnacentral:misc_RNA from 1 species
AAGUCGUAACAAGGUUUCCGUAGGUGAACCUGCGGAAGGAUCAUUCACAAAAAAGUGUUAUAGGAUGAUUGAUUUUAAAAAGGGAAAUAUAUAUUAUAUAUGAUAUGUAUGAUGUAUGGUAACAAUCAUAUAUAUAUAUAUCAUAUAUCAAUGUAUAUGAACUUUUUUCUCUCUCCUUAACAAUUGCGCUUGUUUUGUUUGUCAGAUUGUGUCAUGUAUGUUGUUACAACAAAUCUUAUACAACUUUUAACAAUGGAUCUCUUGGCUCUU